rnacentral:rRNA from 1 species
UACGGAGGGUGCAAGCGUUAUCCGGAUUCACUGGGUUUAAAGGGUGCGUAGGAGGGCAGGUAAGUCAGUGGUGAAAUCCCCGAGCUUAACUUGGGAACUGCCGUUGAUACUAUCUGUCUUGAAUACCGUGGAGGUGAGCGGAAUAUGUCAUGUAGCGGUGAAAUGCUUAGAUAUGACAUAGAACACCAAUUGCGAAGGCAGCUCACAAAACCAUUAUUGACGCUGAGGCACGAAAGCGUGGGGAUCAAACAGG